AAUAUGGCUAUCAUCAAGAAAACAUACUGGUUAUAUGCAAAUUAUGAAUUUUUGUAAAUUUUAAAAUAUCUAUUGAUAUUAUUUCCAUAAUAUCGUAUUUCAUUUAUGGAAUUUCUAGCUUGGUCAGUUUCUAUAUAAAGCAUUCGGGCAAAGGCGAAUUUUCAUCCUUUGCACGUCACUUUGUUAUUCUAGGAUUUCAUUCUUCCAGUUUCAGGAUUCGGUCUUCUGAAAUAUUUGUUUCUAAUCAAUGGCGAUAUUCCAGUGGCAAUAUGUGUUAUUCUGGAGCUUUAUGUCCAUAAUAAUAAACUCAUGCAGAUAUAAACCGGUGAAAUCUUAAUUUUUGGUAUUUUUGUUGUUCUUGGUAUUUUUUUAAUUUUGUUUUGCAGUUGUUAGUGAUAUAUCCUCGCAAUGAAGAAUGAAACGAUGAAAUAGAAUCUUUGGGUUCACUUUUGAUGUUGUAUAUGGAUGAGGAUUCCAUCAGCGAUGUAUAUCUUGGAUUCAUGAUGUAUUUUUUGCGAUCUUGCUACUAUGCUUUCAGGUAACUUGGCGGUUUUUGUUCACAGCAAUUGCUUAUUCAGGGUCUAGAAACUAUACGACUAUACGAGGGCGGUAAUAAUAUUGGGUGAUGCAGAUCUGGACACAAAUAUAGUGCAAUGGCAUCAUAUUUUAGCGGCUAUACAAUCUAAAUACUGAAGCCGUGAAGAAAAAUCUAUGAUUUAAGUUGUAUUACUAAAAUCGUAACUGCAACUAAAAUACAGAGCUGCUCUGUCCAUUCCUGACCGUCCCUCCACCAGUAUUGCUGGGAUUUACUAUGGUAAUGCUGCUUCGCUCCCAAGAAAAUGUGGUGUUAAUAUUCCUUAUACAAUCAACCCCUCUACUAAGUGCACCAAAUACGUAUCUUUGGCUCAGACAACUGCGUUCACUUCGGGAGAAAAAUUAUGGGCUCCUACUACUACCACUACCACUUCUACUAGAAAACAGCAGGGAGACGUCGGAAGAAAGCUUAUUUACCAGUAUUGACCACUUCGCUGCAUGGCACUGAUUCUUUAACCCAAAGAUGCAGGUAAAUAUGAUUGAUAUAUGCGGGGGAGAUUGAAAUGUCGGAGAAUGGAAGGAACAAAGCAUAUGAGAACGGAUUUUCUUUGAUAAUUAGGUUAAUUGUUUUGAGAGCUUAUACUGACUUUUCCUUACUUACGAUUGAGAAUUAGCAUAAAAAAAUGAAAAGUAGCCUUUAAGAGAGAUAUUAUUAUACUCCGGCAGAAAAGACAAGAUGCACAUUGCACAAUAUAGACAAGAUGCACAAUUUAUUUCUUCACUAUCUAUCUGUGUCCGGAAGCUCUCUCUCAGCUGAAUUAAUUUGUGGCCAUCACCACAAAAGAAUGGCAGAAACUGAGAUGACAGCUCAAGCAAAACAGAUACAUACAAACAUAGACCACGGAACCAAAUACACCGUAUGAACUCUUGGUGUGUUAGAAUGUGACGGUGAAUAGUUUAUGAAGACUUUUCUGGUAUGUUAUGUUCCUCAUUGGAUAAGGGAAGUUGCAAAAAUAGUGAGAAGAAAUGUACUUUACGUGUUUUUGUCGGUGUUAGUGAAUGUAGGUUUACUUCACUUUUCGGUGUUGUCCGACGAAUGUGAUGUUGAAGGAAUUGAAAUUCGAGGGAUUUUAUUUUUUUAGUUAGUGAUUCUCAUUCGAGAAAUGCUUUGUUUUCUACUUAUUGCAAAAUUGCGGGAUUUA